UUUGUGUUUGAUAUGAUGUGAAGCACUUUGAAACGCCUUGCUGCUGAAAUGUGCUAUACAAAUAAAAUUUGAUUGAUUGAUUGAUUCUAGCCUGCUUGGCACCCCACCUUUUCAAGCCCCCCCCCCACCAACUCCCUUAAAGUUGUUGACUGGGGGGUUAAUGGUGCUUUGUUUGCAUUAGGCACUGUUAACGUUCAGAUCCUCCAGUUGUGAGAACAAGGAGUGGAUGGAAGGUGGGAGGUUGAGGCAUUUGAAGACCUGGCGCUCAUUCUGCCAGGUGGCCAUCAUCGCCUAUAUCAGAAACCACCACAUGCUACCUGCGUCAUUCAAAUAAAAUAAGAUGCUCUUCUGGAGAUAAAAGGACAAUUGACAUCAUGCAUAGCAGCAACAUUGACCAUGUGUUUCCAUUUACAAGAAGCAAGAAGAGACUUCUUAUAAGGCGAAUAUCGAAGGGUUCAGGUCAGCAAGCAAGAGUGCGGUUGAGGGCAACAGGACCAAUGAACUCAAUCUGUUUUUAAAUAUAUUUGACACACAGCCCCUGCACCUCCCACCCACACUUCCAUCAAUACCACUGCUGCUCUCCCCUCUCCCUCCUCAGUCCUUCAUCCCCAUGUGAGUCUCACCUUCAUACCUCCCUCCCUCCACUCUUCAGCCGGCCACCUCUACGGUAAACAUCACCCCUGAAGAUGUUAGAAGGCAGCUGGUGAAACUCCACCCUGGCAAGCUUGUGCCAUCCAGCUCUGUGGCGUCCUCCAGCACCUGCAGAGGGUCCCUGUGAUGUAGCAAACACCCUGCAUUGUUCCGCUGCCGAAGACACAGCGUCCUUGUGACUCCAAGGAUUACAUCCUGGAGAGAUUCGUCCUGGAGCAGCUCCGGCCUCUGGUCCAACCACAUCCUUGCAGUUUGCCUACCAGCUCAAGCUUGAAACUGCAUUCAACACCAUCUGUCCGGCUCUAAUGGGUGAGAAGCUGACGGUGAGGCAGGUGGAUCCUCUCCUUGUGUCCUGGAUUGUGGACCAUCUGACCGGCAGACCACAGUUUGUGCGCUUGCGACACUGUGUGUCAGAGAGUGUUGUCAGUAACACAGGGACUCCACAAGGGAACCUUCAACCUCUAUACACCCAACUUCAGCUAUUGCACUGAGUCCGCCUGUCGUCAAUCUGUCCAAUGCAUAAAUAAGUAAUAAAAUCAGUAAUAAACAGUAAUCACCCAUUGAACUGUUACAAAAGAACAUGCACAUAUUCAAUGUACUACUAAUGCCCGGUGCUAUACCUUUGCAUACUGCCGGCUGUUCUAAUAAAACAUUAAGCUAAAAAGGAAGCAAGCUUGUUUCUGAAGAUACAAAGAAUUAAAUAACAAACAUGUACCAUACAGAACACUAUAUAUUGGCAAGUCAGUACCAUUUUAUUAUAAACCCCCUUUUAUAUGAUAAAUACAUUGUAAAUAACUAGUAAUAAAUAGUAAUUAACCAGUAGAUAGCCAUUAAUUAAGCUUUAAACAGUAUUCAUAUUUAAGCAGUAACAGUGAAUUACUCAAAAGUAGAGGCAGUAUGUUGCUCUAAUAGCUGCUUUACAAAUACUUGAGUGUCAAUAAGUGUACAGUCUAAUACCAGGGUUACUAAGUAAAGUAUUUUCUCAUUUCCAAACAAAAU